rnacentral:lncRNA from 1 species
AUAAAACCCCCUAAACUAGGGGUUUGGAGAGCUUCCAGGCUGGUGAACAUGUGGAAGUGAUAGGAGGGUGGCUCACACAAACAGCAUGAAGCCAGAAUGGACUGAAUGUCACAGCCUUUAUAACCCACACUGUGGCCGCAAGAAGAGAUUCAAAGAAAAGAAGAUCCUCCCUGCCAUUCCUCAGUGGCUGAAGUGCGUGGCCAGUCAUCAUUCGCUGAGCCCUUACUAGU